rnacentral:tRNA from 1 species
GCCAGUGUGGUGUAGUGGUUUGAGUGUUGGACUAUGACUUUGGAGACCAGGGUUUGAAUCCCUGCUCACUCA